GAAACAUCUAUUCUUUUCUCAAGAAUCCACCAACAUCAAAUUUUUAUUUUAUCUCCAAAUCUUGACAAGUUAUCCUGCAGAAAAUUCUUUUCUUUUCCAAGAUAUUCUUCAACAGCCAUGUUGUGACACUUGGCCUACAUGCAGCCAAGUUUCAGCCUCAUUUCAGCCAUUGUUUUCAGAUUUAUUCAUCAAUCCUAGUUAAUGACUGCAGCCUUCAUUUCCACCCUCAUUUUCACCUCACCACACACCUUCAUUUUCACCUCACUACACAGACCACUUAUGCAUCAGCUUAUGCUCCAGCUUUCAGGUUCGAGUAACCAAGGGCAUUAGAGCUUCAAGCAGAGCAAGCACUGAAUCUCCACUUCGAGGUUGAUCGGUUGGUGCAGACGGGACUGAGCUGAGGCUAGAGUUCUACGAUGUCUUUUGCUUCCGCAAAUGACUAGCUUGUCACCUCGUUCUCCAUCCCCUAAAUUGAAACUUCUAUUAUGUGGUACAAUAUUAUCUUGUUGGGCUUAGACUCUUAACCCAUAUUUCUAUUAGUGAAGCUAUCAAUGAUUAUAAUCAGAGUCACGAAACUAAACCUAUGCGAUCCUGAGUUUGAAUAUUGUCAUUUGAUUGGCAUCUCUCAACGCCUUUCAUUUUAUCUUCUUUCAUCUUAUCUCUUUAGAUAUGAAUACCCGAUUUAAUGGGUAAAUUAUCAAUUUUAUUCAGCUCAAUUAAAUUCUUCAAUUAUUUUCCUA